GGAAGGACUGUAGCUCAGUGGUUAGAGCAUCUGCUUUGAAUGCAGAAAGUCCCAUGUUCGAUUCCCCAAUGGCAUUUCCA